UAGCUAACUACUUGUAUAAAAAAUAUUUGCUUCAAUCUAAUUGGCGGAUUAAUAGAUAUCUAAGAAAACCUCAUUGAUCCUCAAAAGCUUGAAUUCUAAUAUCAUAACCCACAAAAACCUUGAUACUUUUCAAUCUAACUAUUUGAUCAAAUUCAAAUUUACAACACACAUCAAACACAACUACAUCCACAAACCUAAAAAAUUUCACUUGUAGAUCUAUUACCAAACUCCUGAAAUUGUUGAAAAUAUCAA
rnacentral:lncRNA from 1 species